rnacentral:lncRNA from 1 species
GAGCUUCUCUGAGAAAAGAGACAGCAGCAGACUUCACUGUAGUGAAGAGCUGUAGUAGUGAUCAGCUUCACUUACCCGAACCAGCCUUUAUUCAGCUAGUUUAACACCAGCAGCAGCAGCAGCAGCAGAAGCAUGGGCCGGGAGAGCGCUCUGAACACGGAGCUGCAGUUUGACCGGUGACCCUGGUGUCGGACUGUCGGCGGAGCUGUAAUGAGAGCGGUGGCCUGUGGUGAGCUGGUGACUUCACCGCCCGGCUCCUCAGACCUGGAGACCGAGGAGAGGAGCCACGGGCGGCAGCAGUGUGUUCAGUACCUGCGGAGAAACACCGCCAGAUCAACACUGAACCAUAUACCGCCGAAACAGUCCCAGCCCUACAGCCCGAGGAACAGAGAACAUGAAGAAUUAAUUUUGAGGUCAGAAAACACCACUGUCGACUUGUGUGGUCGACACUUUCUGUUCGAUACAAGAUGGACAAAUGGGAUAUUCAACAGAAAUAACUUCAGAGAUGAAACAGUUUUCUUGCCUCCAGUUUCUCGGAAUUACCACAUACAUCAGUCUCACAAUUUACACAGAUUUUCUGAUCGGAAACAGCUUUCGUAUGGAAUUACAAAGCCGUGUACAUUUGGGCUCUUUGAGGAAUAUGAACUCACAUCAGUUCCAUCAGUGCUGGUAACACUUACAACCCCACCUAUCAGUGAAAGGAAUCGUUUUUCUGAAUGUUUUAACAAUAACAGGUCAAAGAAGAUUAAAAAAGUGCGUAAUCUCUUCAGUGUUGAAUUCAACAACAAAAGUCAGUCAUUUCCUGAUCCUGUUUUGGGUGCUCCAGCAUCAUUCGUCCAGAGACUUUCAGAAAUCUCCGCCCUGCAGGCGGAAACCGUCUGUCAGGAGAAGAUAAAGAAUCUGAAAAAGAACAAGAAGCAGGAAGCAUAAUAAAACCUUUGUUGGUCAAAGGGAAAAGACUUUAUGGUAGAUCCAGAGCGGCUGUUUGCUGUAUCCAGGAUGGAAACAAAGAGGAGGGAGGAGUAUUGCCCACCCAGAAGAGCCAUCUGUUCACGUAAUUCUAAAUCUCAGGGAAAAAUACUUUUUUUUUUUUAGCAUUUAGCAGUUUUCAGUUAAGGACGAAACUUUUUAAGAUAGCUUAGCUUAGGCUGAGGCGAG